rnacentral:lncRNA from 1 species
UUUCUUUAGCAGGCAAACCGCAGAGCCUGAGGGCAGUGGAAAGAGGAGUUAACUUGACGGAAAUUUUGCAGGUCUGUUAUUCUUAGCACUACACAAGGCUAGAAGAGGCAAGGAAGAAACUGUUCGGAUCAGUACAGGGUGAGUGAUCUCUCCCAGAAGACUGGUGACAGGCCCUCCUCACCAGUUCCACAGAUGCCUCUAGAACUGGAUGAAGCGGGCACUAGACUCUCCUUUGCUGAUGACCAGGCUGUCCUGGAUAUACUUACCUGGAGGAUGACGAAAGUCCCUAUAGCAGGUCAGAGCACUAGACUUCCUUUCUUCCUUUUAUUUUCCUUCACAAGGGUACUUGAUGAGAACUUUUUAUAUGGAAGAAGACCUCAAAAUAGACUAACUAAAAGCAUUGGUUGUGAUAGUCUGUCCGAG